AUUGAACGCUGGCGGCAGGCCUAACACAUGCAAGUCGAGCGGGGUUUUCGGACCUAGCGGCGGACGGGUGAGUAAUGCGUAGGAAGCUACCCGACAGAGGGGGAUACCAGUUGGAAACGACUGUUAAUACCGCAUAAUGUCUACGGACCAAAGUGUGGGACCUUCGGGCCACAUGCUGUCGGAUGCGCCUACGUGGGAUUAGCUAGUUGGUGAGGUAAUGGCUCACCAAGGCGACGAUCCCUAGCUGGUUUGAGAGGAUGAUCAGCCACACUGGAACUGAGGCACGGUCCAGACUCCUACGGGAGGCAGCAGUGGGGAAUAUUGGACAAUGGGCGGCCAAGGACCUGAUCCAGCCAUGCCGGCGUGUGUGAAGAA
rnacentral:rRNA from 1 species